rnacentral:rRNA from 1 species
AUGGUUCAAACAACAAAACAUAGACUUUUCCAAUUGGUAUAUCACCUCAUAGAGUUGACAUUGAUUCUUCUAGUGGCAACUUCAUCGGUUGAGCGAAUAUUUUCAGCAAUGAAGAUCAUCAAAACCGAUUUGCGCAAUAAGAAAUCAGAUGAUUGGGUCAAUGAUAUAAUGGUGUGCCACUAUGAAAAAUGGACAUUCAAUAGUAUUCGUGAUGAUCAAAUUAUGAUACGAUUCCAUAAAAAGAAAGAUCGCAAAGGACAUUUGCCUCGUGAGUAUAAUGCGAUUUCUUAG